UACGGAGGGUGCAAGCGUUAUCCGGAUUCACUGGGUUUAAAGGGUGCGUAGGAGGGCAGGUAAGUCAGUGGUGAAAUCUCCGGGCUUAACUCGGAAACUGCCGUUGAUACUAUCUGUCUUGAAUACCGUGGAGGUGAGCGGAAUAUGUCAUGUAGCGGUGAAAUGCUUAGAUAUGACAUAGAACACCAAUUGCGAAGGCAGCUCACUACACGAAUAUUGACUCUGAGGCACGAAAGCGUGGGGAUCAAACAGGA
rnacentral:rRNA from 1 species